rnacentral:rRNA from 1 species
GUUCCUACGGGAGGCAGCAGUGAGGAAUAUUGGUCAAUGGCCGAGAGGCUGAACCAGCCAAGUCGCGUGAGGGAUGACGGCCCUACGGGUUGUAAACCUCUUUUGUCGGGGAGCAAAGAGAGUCACGUGUGGCUCAUUGAGAGUACCCGAAGAAAAAGCAUCGGCUAACUCCGUGCCAGCAGCCGCGGUAAUACGUAGGGGGCAAGCGUUAUCCGGAUUUACUGGGUGCAAAGGGAGCGUAGACGGCAGGGCAAGUCUGGAGUGAAAGGCAGGGGCCCAACCCCUGGACUGCUCUGGAAACUGUC